rnacentral:lncRNA from 1 species
GGCCUGGAUACAAAGGCUUUUCUUACAGUUACACUAUUCGAACUUUUGCUUGUACAUGCAACAAACCUCUUCAAAGUCGUUGUUAAAGCUUCCUUUUAAAGCACCUUGCCAAAAUUCUCGUUCCGUGUUUUUAGCGCCGCAUACAAACCUUCGAAUGUUUGUGAAGGACGUACUGGUGAAUACUACUUCAAACCCGUGAUUGUGGAAAUUUUAUAAACAAUAGGCUACUGUAAACCCGUGACUGCACAGACUUCAGAAACUGGGGACUAAUUUAAAGCUGUGAUGACGACACUCGUCUAUGUGUCAUGUUUUUUUUUUUUAAUUUCCAAGACUUGCCUUGUGGCUUAAAACAGGUGAAACGUGCAUGUUAUAUGUACAUAACAAAGGGGGGGGGGGGAACUAUAUGUCCGAAAACGGCAGACAGGUGUAGGGUGGGAAAAGUGUAACAAUCGCUUAUCCGGCUUUUGGCUAUAGCCAAAGGUUAGAUGGCACAAUGUGGUCAAAUUGGAUCUAUCAAGUUAUUUUUGAGAUGGUCUUUAUCUCGGAUAUCCUGUAGCGCCCCUAAAUGUCCUCACGUCAUACCCUCCUGCCACUUCAAAGUGAGAUGUUCCUCGUUUAUAUUUGUGUUGUUAUGACUGCAUGCAAUGUGUGUUCGAUGUGUAUGUUGCUACUUUGUGUAAUUCUUUGUAUGGUACGUGACUUUCGUCGGCGUGUGACUAUGUGUAUCAUUGUGACAAUUGACAAGCGGUAGCGCACAGGACUGUGAAGUGUCAUUGAAUAGAUAGUGAAAUGGCAUGUCUGUGAAUGUGUUCUGUACCGCGCUUGUGAAUAAAAGAGAAAAAAAUCAA